UCCACUACCAUCACUACAUAGAGCCUCACGACAAGGCCAACCAUUGUCCUUCACUAUACCAACACUCACUGGUCAUCAAACCAUAGCAACUCCAUUGCCAAACCCUUUCCUGGCAUCAAAUUAUCCUCUUGAAAUAAGUCUAGAAACCAGACAUUUCUUGAAAACUGAGAUUUGAUUGGGUCAAAUUUCAACCAAAUGACAACCCGACCAAAACUUAAUAGAUUUCAUCGUCUAUACCUUACUUGUGUUUUUCCAUUCACCAAUGAUGUCAUUCCUACUGUUCAUAGUUAGGUGCAAGGCGCACGAGGCUCAAGGGUUUGUGCCUAGAAACCCUCUAGACGGGCGAUAUGCAAAAGGUGCGCCCAGGCACAAGGUGUGCCUUGGCGCGCCCCAGUGAGGUCAGCCUAAGUGAAUGAGAAAAAAGAAGAAGAAGAAGAGUAGUAGGAGAAGAGACGUAAGUGGCUGCCUGCUUCUCAAUGUAGGCUGCUAAGUGGUGGAUGUCUUUUAUUGGUAUUUAAAUGGGGCGUCCUGGCUGCCAACUGCCUCAUGCUCGGUGCUC
rnacentral:misc_RNA from 1 species